rnacentral:rRNA from 1 species
GACGUAGGGUGCGAGCGUUGUCCGGAUUUAUUGGGCGUAAAGAGCUCGUAGGCGGCUCGUCGCGUCGACCGUGAAAACCCGCAGCUUAACUGCGGGCUUGCGGUUGAUACGGGCGGGCUAGAGUUCGGUAGGGGAGACUGGAAUUCCUGGUGUAGCGGUGAAAUGCGCAGAUAUCAGGAGGAACACCAGUGGCGAAGGCGGGUCUCUGGGCCGAUACUGACGCUGAGGCGCGACAGCGUGGGGAGCAAACAGG